CAAUUUGUUUUCCUCUUUCCAUGAUCUGAUGUAUAAACUUUAUCAGGAGAAAGAAGUAAGAAUACAAAGAAACUGAAGAAAGAAGCAUAAAAAGUCAUAGCAGAAAAUAUUUUUGCAGAUAUAGCCAUGCAUAAAAAGUAAGUGUUUUUUGAAGAAUAUUUCCCCAUCCGAGUACCAAAGUUAAACACAUUUUUCUUAAGUUAUUAGAGACUAAUUGACUAACCUUUUUAGUUGAUGUUGAAGAUGAAAAAUCUGAGAAAUGGAUUUAGAAUGAGGCAACAGAAAGUAUGGAACGGUUGCUUCUUUCUGUUCUUGUGUAUGUAUGAAUUCUCCCCUUUUCAACAAACCAACAGUUUGAGAUAAGAAGUUGAAAAUUCGUGUGGAGGAGAAGAGAUAAGGGUAUACGGGCACCAAAAUCACGAGGUUAGGGAGAAACAAAUGACAAAAAAUGGUUGGGCAUUAAAUUUGAAAGUGUCUUAAAUAUAUUUCCGAGUAGUUUCUUUAAGUUAUGUAAAAGUGAGCAAUUUUUAUAUAUUUGAUAAAUUGUGAUGGUUAGAUUUAAACAGAAUUGUGAAAUAAAAAGAGAUAGAGGGAACUCACAUUUGAAGGUGCAGCUUAUAUAGUUUCUGCUAUUUUUGGUCUAUUUCUUGUGGCUAGUGCAGCACAAUGAGGUGCAAUUCUUGUUUUUUUGCCAUAUUUCUAGUGUCCGAUACAGUCUUUAAUGUUGUAGUUUCUGGGAUUUGACAGGACUUUCCUCGAAAAAAACGGCAAACUUCAGGUCCUUAUUAGGCAUGCUACACCAAGCUGUGAU
rnacentral:lncRNA from 1 species